rnacentral:rRNA from 1 species
ACAUGCAGUCAAACACCAGUGAUCCAGUGCUACUGGGUCACUGGUCACUAGUACUUGGAUGGGAGAUCGCCUGAGAGUAACAGGUACUAUAAGCU